rnacentral:lncRNA from 1 species
UAUUCAGUCUUCCUCCUCCAUUUACUUCACAGUGGCUGGAGUUAAUUUUGCUCCUAUAUCUCAGACCAGUCUGUCUUCCCCACUGGAAGACGAUUACCUCACAAAUCCUUGUUUGUCUACUCCUGACCUUACCCCAUGGAGCACCAAUGCUUUUUGAGCACCCACCCACCCAGGCCCUUGGACAGUGGGCUCACUACUGAUGUGCUCUUGCGUGCCCUUAGAAAGAGUGAAUUGGAAUUAUCAAGUCUUAGUCCAUUAACCUGUGGGCCAUGGAGCAGGACUGGAAAGCCUAUUCUUCCUUCUAUACCAAGUAAUUGAGUGUUUGCAGGAUGCAUGUGGCCACUAGAGUAUGUUCUUAUGAUCUUACCAUUUAUUUACCUUGAUACAAAACUCCAAUUACUGUCAGAGAUGCUUCUUGUUAAAUAUGGUAAGUUCUCUAGCUUCUAAGAGAGUGAAUAUGUAUUCUUUACUCUGGGGCCACACUGAGCAGGAUGCUAAGGAAUGAAAAUACUGGGGACUUUGGUGCAAAUUAAUUAAAUAUCUAAAGAUAACAAAGUAAUGAAAAUAGUUUGUAGAAGUUUGGGCUUUAGAGACAGAUGAAAUUUGGAAGAGAAAUAGUACAGUUCAGUGUUUGUCUUUGUUUAGGAAGCUUUUCCAAAA